ensembl:lncRNA
AUGGUUUCUUUUUCUCCAUUUUCAGGGAUGUUGUCCUUAAAGCUGCUGUGUCAUAACAGUCUGCUAAGAGAAGUGAAUAUGCACAGUCCUUAUGUUUUGUACGCUGUGAUGCUUAGGGAUGAUCUUCUUUUCCAAUUGCUAGUUGUUUUCAUUGGUAUAAACCAAGAUCAAAGAAGCAGAAGGUGGAGGAGAGAACUUGCUGCAAAUCGCCCAAAUCAGCUUUUGGAGGAGGGACUGGGGGACCUGCCUGCAACUGGGAAUCCUUGUGCACCUUCAGAUCUAUGAAGGUUGGUGAAGGCUCACAUCUUGGGCAGGCCUGCAGGGACAGCUGUGCAAUGGGCUUGGCUGGGAAGUGCUUGAUUACAAGGCAAAAGAGAUUAUUCCACUCUGAUUCAUUCUGCUGGGCUUCCUACUCUUUUAUUUCAUGGACAACAUACUCAGCGUAGACAAGAUAGGCAGGUAAUUUAAGUAAUCGGAGUCAUCUUGCUAGGACCAGGCAAGGACAUUGCAAGUAUUGAUUGUAGCAUCUAUGUGAGGCAAUUAAAGCCAGUAGGCAGAAUCUGGCCAUAAAUCUUGGGUGAACUGAAACCAUUCUUCUGUCCUUGCUUGAGUAUAACACAGUUUUGUAAUGUACCACGAGUAUCUUACCAUGGCAUUUUCCUGUCAAUAGAUAAUUAGCUGCUAGUGUUGUCCAUGUAACAGCUUUACUUUAAAGAAAAUAUUCAGCCAUUGAAAUCAAGAUAACCACCCUCCCCAUCUAAUAAUACCUACCUUCCCAUGGGUCACUGGUAAGGUCACUAGAUUGUAAUGAAAUAUGCAUUUCAUUACACUUGAUGAAAUACAAGCAUUAAUUUCUGAGGCAGCAGUAGGCAGUUUGUGAUGGCAUCUAUUCAUUUCCUUGCUUUUAAGUGUUUGUGUUUUGUUGAAAGAGAGAUAGCUAGCUAAAUUGGUUUUUGAAAUCAGGUUUUAAAUAUAUUGCACAUUCAUUCUUUAAUACGUUCCUACUCAACACUGGAAGGCUGGGAAGACAAAAGCACUGUCUAGAUUCCUGUCAGGGACAGCACCUGCACAGUGCAAACCCAGACAGAGAGCAACAGGGUUCAAGGAGAUCACAUGGGAAAAAAUAAUAAUGUGUAUUCUCUUCAGAGAGACCUAGUUGCUUGUGCAGCUUAUACUAGUUAUGUGGUUUCACCCUGUUGGAAUUAGAGCAGCACAGAUACUUCUGGGGAGUAAUGCAUCCUACUUGUCUCAGACAGCUUGCGAGGCAGCUAGCUUGGACCUGUUUUACUAGGAGAAAUUAAAUCCAUAUCUCCAAUCCAGGGCCAACUGUAUAAGGGAUAGUAGUAUCCUGUUCAAUCCUCAAUUGAGUGCCAUUGGAAGUGGGUCUCCUCCAUUAAGUUCCGUGUUAUACUUGCAAUUUCUAUUUAGAAACCAUAGAUAUCCUCUGAUGUCUGAUGUGGUACAGUAGAUCUCUGGGAAAGCAGCUGAAUCAAGUCCUAAAUGUUUAAAGAGUAAUAAUAAAUUCUGUGAUGGAGGUGGACCGGAUAAUUAA